UGGGGAAUUUUGCGCAAUGGACGAAAGUCUGACGCAGCAACGCCGCGUGGGUGAUGAAGGUCUUCGGAUCGUAAAACCCUGUCGUCAGGGACGAAGGUAAUGUGCCUAAUACGCAUGUUGCUUGACGGUACCUGGAGAGGAAGCCCCGGCUAACUCUGUGCCAGCAGCCGCGGUAAUACAGAGGGGGCAAGCGUUAUUCGGAAUUAUUGGGCGUAAAGGGCGCGUAGGCGGUUUUUUAAGUCAGAUGUGCAAUCCCCGGGCUCAACCUGGGAACUGCAUCUGAGACUGGAAGACUCGAGUGCUGGAGAGGGUGGUAGAAUUCCACGUGUAGCGGUGAAAUGCGUAGAGAUGUGGAGGAAUACCAGUGGCGAAGGCGGCCACCUGGACAGUAACUGACGCU
rnacentral:rRNA from 1 species